AUUGAACGCUGGCGGCAGGCCUAACACAUGCAAGUCGAGCGAGCGGCGGACGGGUGAGUAAUGUCUGGGAAACUGCCUGAUGGAGGGGGAUCAUUACGGUAAACGGUAGCUAAUACCGCAUACCAUUAGUUGUGCCCAGAUGGCUUUAGCUAGUGGGUGGGGUAAUGGCGCACCUAGGCGACGAUCCCUAGCUGGUCUGAGAGGGUGACCAGCAACACUGGAACUGAGACACGGUCCAGACUCCUACGGGAGGCAGCAGUAGGGAAUAUUGCGCAAUGGGCGCAAGCCUGAUACAGCCAUGCCGCGUGAGUGAAGAAGGCCUUCGGGUUGUAAAGCUCUGUUAGCGAGGAAGCGUUACCCAAAGAGGAAGCACCGGCUAACUCCGUGCCAGCAGCCGCGGUAAUAC
rnacentral:rRNA from 1 species